AGCGAACGCUGGCGGCAGGCCUAACACAUGCAAGUCGAACGAAGUCUUCGGACUUAGUGGCGGACGGGUGAGUAACACGUGGGAACGUGCCUUUAGGUUCGGAAUAACUCAGGGACACUUGUGCUAAUACCGACUGUGCCCUUCGGGGGAAAGAUUUAUCGCCUUUAGAGCGGCCCGCGUCUGAUUAGCUAGUUGGUGAGGUAAUGGCUCACCAAGGCUACGAUCAGUAGCUGGUCUGAGAGGAUGACCAGCCACAUUGGGACUGAGACACGGCCCAAACUCCUACGGGAGGCAGCAGUGGGGAAUCUUGCGCAAUGGGCGAAAGCCUGACGCAGCCAUGCCGCGUGGAUGAUGAAGGUCUUAGGAUUGUAAAAUCCUUUCACCGGUGAAGAUAAUGACUGUAGCCGGAGAAGAAGCCCCGGCUAACUUCGUGCCAGCCGCCGCAGUAACAC
rnacentral:rRNA from 1 species